UGCAAAAGAGCCUGUGCAUGUCACUUUCACUUUAUAACCAUUAGGAAGAGUGACAAGAUAUGACAGAGUUAAAGGUGUGAUGUUAAAAAGUAAUUGUUUAUUAUGUGUCAUGUGAUUAGAGGCACCCGAAUCUAUAAUCCAGGUGACAGAAUUAAUAUGAGUAAGCAAGCAAAGUUUGGAAUCAAAAAUAGGGUUCUCAGUUAACAUAGUACCAGCAAAGUUUAAAGCAUAUAUGGGAGGAGGAGUUUGAGCAGUGGAUUCCCCUAACUUAGUCUGGUGUAACAAGUUCAUCAACUGGUCAUAAUCUUGUCUGCUCAACCCUGGUAUCACAGAG
rnacentral:lncRNA from 1 species